UACGUAGGGUGCAAGCGUUUAAUCGGAAUUACUGGGCGUAAAGCGCGUGUAGGCGGGCGAAUAAGUCAGGGGUGAAAUGCCAAGGCUCAACCUUGGAACUGCCUUUGAUACUGUUCGUCUUGAGUCCGGGAGAGGUGAGUGGAACUGCGAGUGUAGAGGUGAAAUUCGUAGAUAUUCGCAAGAACACCAGUGGCGAAGGCGGCUCACUGGCCCGGAACUGACGCUGAGACGCGAAAGCGUGGGGAGCAAACAGG
rnacentral:rRNA from 1 species